rnacentral:rRNA from 1 species
UACGAAGGGGGCUAGCGUUGCUCGGAAUCACUGGGCGUAAAGCGCACGUAGGCGGAUUGUUAAGUCAGGGGUGAAAUCCUGGAGCUCAACUCCAGAACUGCCUUUGAUACUGGCGAUCUUGAGUCCGGGAGAGGUGAGUGGAACUCCGAGUGUAGAGGUGAAAUUCGUAGAUAUUCGGAAGAACACCAGUGGCGAAGGCGGCUCACUGGCCCGGUACUGACGCUGAUGUGCGAAAGCGUGGGGAGCAAACAGGG